rnacentral:rRNA from 1 species
AGAUUGAACGCUGGCGGCAGGCCUAACACAUGCAAGUCGAGCGGUAGAGAGGUGCUUGCACCUCUUGAGAGCGGCGGACGGGUGAGUAAUGCCUAGGAAUCUGCCUAGUGGUGGGGGAUAACGUUCGGAAACGGACGCUAAUACCGCAUACGUCCUACGGGAGAAAGCGGGGGACCUUCGGGCCUCGCGCCAUUAGAUGAGCCUAGGUCGGAUUAGCUAGUUGGUGAGGUAAUGGCUCACCAAGGCGACGAUCCGUAACUGGUCUGAGAGGAUGAUCAGUCACACUGGAACUGAGACACGGUCCAGACUCCUACGGGAGCAGCAGUGGGAAUAGUUGGACAAUGGGCGAAAG